rfam:Myotis davidii contig97903, whole genome shotgun sequence.
CCAAAGGCUCUUUUCAGAGCCACUUAGACACUUUCUAAAAGGGCCG